rnacentral:rRNA from 1 species
AUUGAACGCUGGCGGCAUGCUUUACACAUGCAAGUCGAACGGUAACAGGCCGCAAGGUGCUGACGAGUGGCGAACGGGUGAGUAAUGCAUCGGAACGUGCCCAGUCGUGGGGGAUAACGCAGCGAAAGCUGCGCUAAUACCGCAUACGAUCUAUGGAUGAAAGCGGGGGACCGUAAGGCCUCGCGCGAUUGGAGCGGCCGAUGUCAGAUUAGGUAGUUGGUGGGGUAAAGGCUCACCAAGCCAACGAUCUGUAGCUGGUCUGAGAGGACGACCAGCGACACUGGGACUGAGACACAGCCCAGACUCCUACGGGAGGCAGCAGUGGGGAAUUUUGGACAAUGGGCGCAAGCCUGAUCCAGCAAUGCCGCGUGCAGGAAGAAGGCCUUCGGGUUGUAAACUGCUUUUGUACGGAACGAAACGGUCCUGGUUAAUACCCGGGGCUAAUGACGGUACCGUAAGAAUAAGCACCGGCUAACUACGUGCCAGCCGCCGCCGUAAUAC